GGUAAUACGAUGACUGGGAAUAGUAGGUAUUCUUUCUGUUAUAGAGAGCUAAUGGUUGGUGGAAAUUAGCCAGAAAGGGUUCAGAAUCCCCCCAGGAGUGGUCUGGUGAACCUGUAUGUGGUCGAGGAAAGUGGCCCUGAGUCCAGAGUAGCUAGACCCGGGUUAAGCCCGUUAUAGCCCCAGAGUGGUUAAACUAAAACCUGUGUGUUUAUACAAGAUUAGUUUAGCCAUCAGGGUGGCACCGCGGAAAUAAUUAAACUUCCGUCCCUGUU
rnacentral:ncRNA from 1 species